ACCGCCUUCCCGCGGUGGCGGCGGGCCCUGCGGAGCGUAGGCGCCCCGGUGAGGGUGCGCUAGAGGCGGGGGUCUCUGGGAGACGCCGCCCCUCCCCGAGGGCAACGCUCCCUGCCUCUGCCGCCUCCUGCUUUGGCUUUCUCCCGCCGCCGAGCACAGUACUUGGUGUCCCGUCCCUCCCGAUGCAUCUCGCCUCCAGUUUUCUAGAGGAGAAUUCGGAUUUUCCUGUAACUCCUGUGCGUUUCCAGUACGUCGGACAGAAGUGAACGCGUGGCUGAACUGGCUGAAAAUUCCGAAGGUUGGCAAGUUAUGAUCAAGGCAGCCGUAGAUGCGGUGUCUUGUGAGGACCCACUAACUCGUUUGUAAACUGAACAACUUUGCCGGGGAGGUUUAAUCUGCAUAUUCAGAUGAGGAAAUAGAGGCCAAGAAACGACGUGCAGUUUGCUUAAAAUCACAGCUAGAAGUGGUGUGGCUGGGAUUUGACUCCAGCAUACACCCAGCAGUGAUGCCACUGCCUCCUUCUCCUCCUCGCUACGUUUCUGUUUGAUGAGAUCAGCAUGGUGCCAGCGAGAACAACAAAGAUUUGGAUGCUGAGCUGCUGGACGAAGCCCUUUUGGCUGAUGAGGGACGAGAAGGUGUGGAUCCUGGUUUAGAUGCUGGACUGGAUCUGGCUGCACCUGAAAGCAACCAGAAUAAAUCAUGAAGAUUGGCAACGUUAAAAGCACUUUUUAGGUAUAUAGCAAAUGAUAGAGAAAAGGAAUUUACUAAAACACAGAAGAGAUACUGCCAGCAACCCCCUCCCAUCACAGAAGUACCACAAAUACACUUAGAAAGACUGCGCUCAACAAAACGAUAGCAUCAUCUUGGACGACUUACUGAACUUUCUGAGCACGGUUUUUCCCCCCUCAAGUAACAUGAGAUUAAUGCAGUUGUCCUUUCUCCCUCUGGAGAGAUGAGAGUAACAGAUACAAAGGGAUUUUAAGUUUUCUUUAAGAGUUAAGGUUCUAUGAUGAGCUCAGAGCAUCACCGUAAUUGAAUUUCUAACCUAGACGUUAUAACAGACUAACACUUCAGGAGAAGUACCAAUACAAAUGUCUUUUUUUCCCUCUCUUUUAAUGCAUUUCCUAGUUUUAGCCACUGAAAGAGUCUAGGAGCCGUGACAUCUCUGUAACAACAGGCACUCCUGGUGCCCAAGUCCUAGUUUCUCAAUGUUAUUCUGCAAUAAAAGGGCUUCUUGAGAUCUGGCUGAUCGCAGGGGUGGGGCAGGGAAAGGACAGGGUGGGCCUGGGAGAAUGUGCUCAAGGAUUCAUGUCAAAGGACACAGAGGCCAGCCUGAAGGGGCUCCCAACCGGCCACACUUGGACUGGUUGCAUAGCAUAAAGACUAACGGCUGUAAUGCAUUACAAGGCACUGAAUAAAUGCAAAGCUAGUUCAUGAUGAUGGGCAGGGGAGAGGCAGGAUCUAAAAAUCUUUACGGAACACUGACAGCUAGUAAAUGCCCAAGAAAUGCUACAACUAGAAAAGUCACACUGUUGCAACACACGUAACUGAUUCAGGAAAGUUCAUCCAUUGACUAAAACACUGAGAGGUUCUUGAGGAAAAAGAUAUUCACACGUAUCAGAUACUACCCUAUAAAUCACUUAUAAAGGGAAAGAGAUACGCUUUCACAACAGGGAAGUCUGGGGAUUUAACCAAGUUAUUCAACAGCAUCCCUAAUAACGCUAGAAAUCGGCAAAAACAAACAAACAC